rnacentral:rRNA from 1 species
GGUCGAGCAAGGAUGAAAAUCGGACUUAGUGAUCCGGUGGUUCUGCGUGGAAGGGCCAUCGCUCAACGGAUAAAAGCUACCCUGGGGAUAACAGGCUUAUCUCCCCCAAGAGUCCACAUCGACGGGGAGGUUUGGCACCUCGAUGUCGGCCCAUCACAUCCUGGGGCUGUAGUAGGUCCCAAGGGUUGGGCUGUUCGCCCAUUAAAGUGGUACGCGAGCUGGGUUCAGAACGUCGUGAGACAGUUCGGUCCCUAUCCGUCGCAGGCGUAGGAAAUUUGAGAAGACCUGUCCUUAGUACGAGAGGACCGGGAUGGACGUACCUCUGGUGUACCAGUUGUUCUGCCAAGGGCAUGGCUGGGUAGCUAUGUACGGAAUGGAUAAGCGCUGAAAGCAUCUAAGCGCGAAGCCAACUUCAAGAUAAGAUUUCCCACCGCAAGGGUAAGACCCCAGAAAGACUAUCUGGUUGAUAGGUCGAAGGUGUAAGUGCAGCAAUGUAUUUAGCUUAUCGAUACUAAUAGGUUGAGGACUGGACCAAAUU